UACGUAGGGGGCUAGCGUUGUCCGGAUUUAUUGGGCGUAAAGAGCGCGUAGGCUGCCGAGUAAGUCCGACGUGAAAUCUGGAGGCUCAACCUCCAGCGGUCGUUUGGAAACUACUCGGCUAGAGUCCGGAAGAGGAGAGUGGAAUUCCUGGUGUAGCGGUGAAAUGCGCAGAUAUCAGGAGGAACACCGGUGGCGAAGGCGGGUCUCUGGGCCGAUACUGACGCUGAGGAGCGAAAGCGUGGGGAGCGAACAGG
rnacentral:rRNA from 1 species